rnacentral:lncRNA from 1 species
AUAUUAUAAAGUAUGUAAUUGUUAGACAAUAGCUAAUAGUGUAGCAAAAGUAAGAAUAUUCCCAUCCUAGGUAGGAUGGAUAUUACACAGCUACUAGAAUUAAAUUCCUACAUUUACUGGAAUGGAUGUCAAAACCAUCAAAGAUCCCUCGCUCACCAUAGAAGUCCAACUAUUAAGUCCUGGAGGUGUGCGAAACAUAAAGUGUGAGCGGGUAAGAAUAAGUAUUUUUUUUAUUUUUAAAUUUUAUUAUUUGAAGGUGAUGGGGGAGGGUACAAUAAUUAAGGGGAGCAAGAAGUUUCGAACCCAUACACGGGUAAAAACUCAAUACCCUAUCUAUUAGGAUAUUGGACCAUAUGCAAAUAAAGGUUUAAUAAAACCUUUGUUUUUCUCAACAUAAUAGCCCCUCUUUGUGAACCCAUAUAUAUAGUUUCCAAAUCAUACUACGUAAGUAUGAAAAUCAAUUACCGUUUAAAACAAUUAUUUCCAAUUAUAUAGUAAACCACAAUAUAUCAGCAACAAAAUAUAACAUGCUUUACUCAUAUCAUACUACAUAAUAGUAUGACAGUUAAUUACCGUAGAAUCCUAAUAUUCAAAUGUACGAUAAUCACAACAUCUCAACCAUACAAAAUAGUAUGCUUAUCAUAAUUAUGCAGACAAACAAGCCCAUGCAGAAAGUAACUAUAUGGAAUAGGCUGAGUGUAAGGGCAUCUCCAAAGAGACCACCAUCUUUGCGGACUCAUGUAGGGACUUAAAAAGAAUCUUUGUGUCCUUAAAAAAAUAUUAUCUCAAAUGAGAGUGGCAUUAUAGUAUAAUUCCUAAAUAUAGAGAUUACACUAUUAAAAAAUUAUUGUUCAUUUCAUUAGAGUAUUCUAGAUGUUGAUAAAAACCAAAAUCCUGUAUUUAUCGUUGGGAAGUUGAAGUUGCAAAAAACCCGAAAGAGAAACAGCAUGCCCACAUGUAGGGAUGGGCAAAAUAUCCACGAUUAUAGGCAGUGGCGGAUCCAGGAAAUAAUGUUUGGGGGGUCAACAAGGAUAGCGCGCACAGCGCGAAAUUUUUUUUUAACAGAAACGGCAUGCAUAUAGUCAUUUCAUCGGAUCUUAGUAGGAUAGCGUGAUCAGCCUCUCACCGAUAGUUACCAUACUAAAAGGUGCCUUCACUUUCCCUGACAACCAAAAAUAAACAUAAAAUUGGGUUGGAUGGUUCAUAAUAAACAUAAAAUUCUGAUGUCAAUAUGGUGGUUUAUAAUAAUAUUUUUUAGAGAUCAUAUUAAUUUAUGUUGAAUAUAAAGAGAAAUAAAGUUGUUAAAUAUGUGGAUGUGGAAAGGGCACACACAUCAUUACCAUUAAUUUAUGUCAAAUAUGUGGAUGUGGACGCAUGGGAACUUUGCAAUCUGCACCAAGACUUAAUGGUGACAUCUUCAACUUGACACACGAACCGAUCUGACAGCCUAUGGCUUUUUACACAAAGCAAGCAAUUUGAUGCUAGCUGUACAAAUUUGAUUGGAGAGAAACUAAGAAAAAAAAUUAAAUAAGAAGAGUGUGUGGUCACGUGGUGUGAAAGGAAGAGAGAGAACGUCUUCGUCUUCGUCUUCCUCUUCCGCCAAACCGAACGAAAACCAGAAGAAACCCAGAAAAAUGCAGCAGCUCCAAGAGGUCGCACCAGCAGCUUUAAGGGGUCGCACCAGCAGCUCCAAGGGAACUCUAAGGUUAUUUUCAUGGCUUCCAAGGGGUCGUGCGACCCCAUUGACCCCAC